CUGCAGUUAAAAAUAGGCGAAGGCGAAUUCUAAGGUCGGAAAAUUGCAGCCUCCGAUUCGGCAUACAUUUGAGAAACCGACGGUCUAACAUUGAACCCUAAUAAGAAUCGAAUCGAGGAUGUUGAGUGAAUCCGAAGCUCCAAUUCCAGCAUGGACGGAAUUGCCCGAGGAUUUGAUGGAGAAUAUCCUGCAAAGGUUGUCUAGUGAAGAGAUACUGAAGAGUGUGGAGAAGGUGUGCACUACGUGGUGGAGAGCCUGCAAAAAUCCCGCCUUGUGGCGUGUGGUUUCUGUGGAUCAUCGACGCUGCACGCCUUUCCAGUUUGAGUACGUUGUCCGUGCCGCAGCUAGGCGUGGCCAGGCACAAUUGGUCGAGCUAAAGCUUUAUACUGUUUAUUCUCGUGUUUAUUGCUGUGCCGUGCUAAGCCAUGUCGCCCAACGAGCAAGUCAGCUUCGACGCCUUACACUAUCAGAGUUGGAAACAACCUUUUUCACCAGAGAUCUACAUAAUUUCCCACAAUUGGAAGAGUUGCACCUUUUCGUGAACCAGUUGCUCAAGCUCCCACAGUUUGAAACCAUCGGCGUCUCUUGUCCCAUGUUAAAGUCAUUUACAUAUGCCUGUUGGGAGAUGAAAGUUGAUGGACUAGAAGCUAUUCUGGAUGGAUGUCCCCACCUUGAAUCGCUUAUGCUUCCGCAAAGCUGUGGUCUUGAUCUACAAGGGCCUCUAGGAAAAAGAUGUGCUCGCCAAAUUAAACAUCUGUGGCUUCAUCCUGAUUCUUCGGAGUUUACCUUUAUAAUGAGACUGCUUCAUUUGGAGCUGCUGCUGUAAAGAAAUCCUACAGAAAAACUAUCACGUGACACUUGAGAAAACUUCCUCUCAUAGAGGGUGAAGGAUGAUAGCUUUGAGUAGUUGGAUUUAAUCAGAGUCAAGAGGGCUGUGUUUGUCCAAAUUUUGAUGUGGUAUUAUUUGUCAAGUAUGUCCUUACAAUUAUUUUAGCCAUUCUCUUGCUUCCAGUCCAUCACUGACACUCAUCUAUCUCACUAUAUAUUAUGGUGAGGAAUGAGCAACCUAUUUAAAUUGUUAUUCUUCAGAUUUGGUGUUGGAGGAUAUGAUUUGACAGAGUUUGCCGCACGUCUAAAGCAAUGAAGAAAUUAGCGAGUACAUUAUUGGUUAUGCUGAUUCAUUCUUCUGUACAUUUAAAAUCUACACACUUUUCUGAAUCCAUCCGAGAGAUAGAGAGAUGGCAACGAUAUUGAGAUGGUACAAACCCUUGUUUCCUCUCUCUUUCAAUUCGAGGACCAAAUUCCGCUUUCGUAGCACUUUCUCUGCUGCAAAGUUUGAGUCUUUGACGACCUGCUGUGAGCAAAAUAAAUUGCGGGAAGUAAAGAAAGAGCUUUGGCUGUACAACACGAUGAGCAAGCAAAGAGAGUUGUUUAAGCCUAAGGUGGAAGGCAAAGUAGGAAUGUACGUUUGCGGCGUCACCGCCUAUGAUCUCAGCCACAUUGGCCACGCCCGUGUAUAUGUUGCUUUUGAUGUGCUCUACAGAUACCUUAAGCAUUUGGGAUAUGAGGUUAACUACGUUCGCAAUUUCACCGAUGUUGAUGACAAGAUUAUUGCCAGAGCAAAUGAAUUGGGUGAAGAUCCGAUUAGCUUGAGCAGAAGAUUUUGUGAGGAAUUUCAUCUUGACAUGACGUAUCUGAACUGCCUUCCUCCUUCCGUGGAGCCUCGUGUCUCUGAUCACAUACCGCAAAUUAUUGCUAUGAUCAGACAGAUACUGGAUAAUGGAUGUGCAUACGCAGUUGAGGGUGAUGUGUACUUCUCCAUAGACAAAUUCCCCGAGUAUGGAAGACUAUCUGGACGUAAACUGGAAGAUAACAGGGCUGGUCAACGAGUUACAGUGGACUCUAGGAAGAGAAACACAGCUGACUUUGCUUUAUGGAAGGCAGCAAAGGAGGGAGAACCUUUCUGGGAGAGUCCAUGGGGUCCGGGAAGGCCGGGAUGGCAUAUCGAGUGCAGUGCUAUGAGUGCUGCUUAUUUAGGUUAUUCUUUCGACAUACAUGGUGGUGGAAUGGAUCUUGUAUUUCCCCAUCACGAGAAUGAGAUUGCUCAAAGCUGUGCCGCCUGCCGUGAAAGCAAUGUAAGUUAUUGGAUCCAUAAUGGAUUUGUGACCAUCGAUUCUGAGAAGAUGUCGAAAUCUCUUGGCAACUUUUUCACCAUUAGAAAGGUACUCGAACUUUAUCAUCCACUGGCUCUGAGGCAUUUCCUUUUGGGAACUCACUAUCGUUCCCCUAUUAAUUACUCGGAGUUACUGCUUGAAACUGCAUCAGACCGUGUUUACUAUAUCUAUCAGGCAUUACAUGAUAGUGAGAGUAUCACGGCCCAGCAUGAUGAAGCUAGUUUGAAGGAUUCGAUUCCAGCAGAAGUUGCAACUUGCAUCAACAAAUUUCGGGAUGAAUGUUCGAUAUCAAUGACAGAUGAUCUACAUACUUCUGUAGCAUUGGCUGCAAUUUCUGAACCAUUGAAAACCAUGAAUGAUCUUUUGCAUACCCGAAAGGGAAAGAAGCAACAACUCAGAGUCGAGUCACUUGCUGCUUUAGAGAAGACGGUUAGGGAUAUUCUUGCUGUUUUGGGGCUUUUGCCAAAUAGCUAUUCCGAGGCGUUGAAGCAGCUGAAGGAUUACGCUCUGAGGCGUGCAAAGUUGACAGAAGAUCAUGUUAUGCACAAGAUCGAAGAAAGGAAUGCUGCGAGAAAAAAUAAAGAAUACGAAAAAUCCGAUGCAAUUCGAAAAGAAUUGGCUAGUGCAGGCAUUGCACUCAUGGACAGCCCAGAAGGCACAACUUGGAGACCUGCUCUGCCUCUGGCAUUGCAAGACCAAUAGUUCGAGCAUCCGUUUUGGAAAAUUUUACGUUUCGAUAGUCACCAAUUCUUGAAACAACUUCGUUCCAGUAUAUGCCAACAAAAGAAACAAAUAUUUUUGGCCAGGUAGAAAAAGAGUUGGAGGUUCAUUAUCUUGAAAGCAUUUGGUAAAUGUGGAGUGAACGACCUUGUGAUCGGGACAGUGAGGAGCGGGAGGCAGAUAGGAGGGAAGCCGGAGUGGAACGUGCAAGUUGCGAACAACUGUAACUGCUCACAGUCGAACAUAGUACUAACUUGCCGUGGUUUUCAGACAGUUAAGCCUGUUGAUCGCUCGAUUUUCCAGAGGAAUGGCGACCACUGCUCCGUGAAUGGAGGGCGCCCUCUUCUUCCGUGGGCUGAUGUCAAAUUCUCUUAUGCUUGGGAUCCACCCUUCUUCCUACUCCCUUUCUCC